UACGAAGGGGGCUAGCGUUGUUCGGAAUUACUGGGCGUAAAGCGUGCGCAGGCGGCUUCUCAAGUCAGGGGUGAAAGCCCAGAGCUCAACUCUGGAAUUGCCUUUGAGACUGAGUGGCUUGAGUACGAGAGAGGUGAGUGGAAUUCCCAGUGUAGAGGUGAAAUUCGUAGAUAUUGGGAAGAACACCGGUGGCGAAGGCGGCUCACUAGCUCGUAACUGACGCUCAUGCACGACAGCGUGGGGAUCAAACAGG
rnacentral:rRNA from 1 species